AUUGAACGCUGGCGGCAGGCCUAACACAUGCAAGUCGAGCGGAUGAAGGGAGCUUGCUCCUGGAUUCAGCGGCGGACGGGUGAGUAAUGCCUAGGAUCUGCCUGGUAGUGGGGGAUAACGUCCGGAAACGGGCGCUAAUACCGCAUACGUCCUGAGGGAGAAAGUGGGGGAUCUUCGGACCUCACGCUAUCAGAUGAGCCUAGGUCGGAUUAGCUAGUUGGUGGGGUAAAGGCCUACCAAGGCGACGAUCCGUAACUGGUCUGAGAGGAUGAUCAGUCACACUGGAACUGAGACACGGUCCAGACUCCUACGGGAGGCAGCAGUGGGGAAUAUUGGACAAUGGGCGAAAGCCUGAUCCAGCCAUGCCGCGUGUGUGAAGAAGGUCUUCGGAUUGUAAAGCACUUUAAGUUGGGAGGAAGGGCAGUAAGUUAAUACCUUGCUGUUUUGACGUUACCAACAGAAUAAGCACCGGCUAACUUCGUG
rnacentral:rRNA from 1 species